GAGACGGGGUUUUGCCAUGUUGCCCAGGCCAGUCUCCAACUCCUGAGCUUGAGCAACCCACCCGCCUCGGCUUCCCAAAGUGCUGGGACCGCAGGCGUGAACCAGCGCAGCCGGCUGGAAAACUGGAACUCUCAUCGGUUGAGAGUGGCAGCUCUGGAGCUCGGACUCCCCCACCUCCCCAGGAUUUGUCAUUGCUGCUGUUUGUCGUGGUUAUCUGUCAGAAAUGAGCCGGGCGUGGUGGCGCCUAUAGUCAGCUACUCGGGAGGCUGAGGCAGGAGAAUCACUUGAACUCGGGAGGCUGAGGCACGAGAAUCGCUUGAACUGGGAGGCUGAGGCACGAGAAUCGCUUGAACUGGGAUGCAGAGGCUGCAGUGAGCCAUGUUGGUGCUGGUGCACUCCAGCCUGAGCAAGACCUUGUCUCAGAAAAAAAAAAAGUUCACAAAGCCCACUGUUCUUACUAAGAUUCAGCUGUUUUUCUUGAAUAAAUGCUCCCCGUGCUACUGU
rnacentral:lncRNA from 1 species